UGAAAAUGAAAAGGCCAAGUCAUCAGUGCUCUCUGCUUCUAUGGAAGUUGCCGAGCUUAAAAAGUUGUUUGAAAAAGAAACUAUUUCAAGGAAAGCUGCAGAAGAGGAAAUUGACAAUAUUAAAAAUCAACUAGCACAAUGGAAAAGGUCAGAGGCUGCUGGAAAUUCUGAGAUUUUAAAGCUGCGGAAAGCUGCAGAAGAGGAAAUUGACAAUAUUAAAAAUCAACUAGCACAAUGGAAAAGGUCAGAGGCUGCUGGAAAUUCUGAGAUUUUAAAGCUGC
rnacentral:misc_RNA from 1 species